rnacentral:rRNA from 1 species
GAUGAACGCUGGCGGCGUGCCUAACACAUGCAAGUCGAACGAAGCACCUUACCUGAUUCUUCGGAUGAAGGUCUGGUGACUGAGUGGCGGACGGGUGAGUAACGCGUGGGUAACCUGCCCUGUACAGGGGGAUAACAGUUGGAAACGGCUGCUAAUACCGCAUAAGCGCACGAGAGGACAUCCUCUUGUGUGAAAAACUCCGGUGGUACAGGAUGGGCCCGCGUCUGAUUAGCUGGUUGGCAGGGUAACGGCCUACCAAGGCGACGAUCAGUAGCCGGUCUGAGAGGAUGAACGGCCACAUUGGAACUGAGACACGGUCCAAACUCCUACGGGAGGCAGCAGUGGGGAAUAUUGCACAAUGGGGGAAACCCUGAUGCAGCAACGCCGCGUGAGUGAAGAAGUAUUUCGGUAUGUAAAGCUCUAUCAGCAGGGAAGAUAAUGACGGUACCUGACUAAGAAGCUCCGGCUAAAUACGUGCCAGCAGCCGCGGUAAUACGUAUGGAGCAAGCGUUAUCCGGAUUUACUGGGUGUAAAGGGUGCGUAGGUGGCAGUGCAAGUCAGAUGUGAAAGGCCGGGGCUCAACCCCGGAGCUGCAUUUGAAACUGCAUAGCUAGAGUACAGGAGAGGCAGGCGGAAUUCCUAGUGUAGCGGUGAAAUGCGUAGAUAUUAGGAGGAACACCAGUGGCGAAGGCGGCCUGCUGGACUGUUACUGACACUGAGGCACGA